GGAAUCUUCCACAAUGGGCGAAAGCCUGAUGGAGCAAUGCCGCGUGAGUGAUGAAGGUUUUCGGAUCGUAAAGCUCUGUUGCCAGGGAAGAACGUCCGGGUGAGUAACUGCACCCGGAGUGACGGUACCUGAGAAGAAAGCCCCGGCUAACUACGUGCCAGCAGCCGCGGUAAUACGUAGGGGGCAAGCGUUGUCCGGAAUUAUUGGGCGUAAAGCGCGUGCAGGCGGCGGAUUAAGUCGGAUGUUUAAGAUCGGGGCUCAACCCCGAUUCGCAUCCGAAACUGGCCCGCUUGAGUGUAGGAGAGGAAAGUGGAAUUCCACGUGUAGCGGUGAAAUGCGUAGAGAUGUGGAGGAACACCAGUGGCGAAGGCGACUUUCUGGCCUAUAACUGACGCUGAGGCGCGAAAGCGUGGGGAGCAAACAGGAUUAGAUACCCGGG
rnacentral:rRNA from 1 species